rnacentral:rRNA from 1 species
AACGAACGCUGGCGGCAUGCCUAACACAUGCAAGUCGAACGAGACCUUCGGGACUAGUGGCGCACGGGUGCGUAACGCGUCGGAACCUUCCCUUAGGUUUGGCAUAACUCCCCGACAGGGGUGCUAAUACCUGAUAAUGUCUUCUAACCAAACAUUUAUUGACUUAGUUUGGGCCCGAGUUGGAUUAGCUUGUUGUUACGGUAAUAGCCUACCAAGGCGACCAUCCAUAGCUGGUAUGAGAGAAUGAUCAGCCACACUGGGACUGAGACACGGCCGAGAAUCUUACGGGAUGGAGGAGUGGGGGAUAGUGGAAAGUGGGCGAAAGGAUGAAGGAGUUAUGACGGGUGAGUGAUGUAGGCCGUAGGGUAGUAAAGCGCUUUUAACCGGGAUGAUAAUGACGGUACCGAGAGAAUAAGCGCCGGCUAACUCCGUG